UACGUAGGGGGCAAGCGUUGUCCGGAAUCAUUGGGCGUAAAGAGCGUGUAGGCGGCUCGGUAAGUCCGCUGUAAAAGUCAAAGGCUCAACCUUUGAAUGUCAGUGGAUACUGCCGGGCUAGAGUCCGGAAGAGGCGAGUGGAACUCCUGGUGUAGCGGUGGAAUGCGCAGAUAUCAGGAAGAACACCGACGGCGAAGGCAGCUCGCUGGGACGGUACUGACGCUGAGACGCGAAAGCGUGGGGAGCGAACAGG
rnacentral:rRNA from 1 species